AUGAGGGACCGGUGGACGCUGUGCGUGAACACAUCCGCGGGCGUAGGGGGCCAGAUUUGGCAAGUUGUAGAUGCUCUGAACUACAGACUCUCAUCCCCGUCUUCCUCUUCCUUCUGCUCCUCUGCUUCUCUCUUCUCUUCCCCAAUUCCCCCUCAAACCCUAGCGACCGAUCCGCGAGUUCCCUCCGGCGGCGGCGCCGCCGCUCCGAUCGCCCGCCUCUCCGUCAGCCCCAGCCCGCCGUUCGCGCCGCGGCAGCGGUCCAUGGAUUUCCGCUUCAGCGCCGGCGACCGCGGGCCGCCUUUGCCGCCGCCGUUGGAGUGGCAGGCGGUGCCGCGAGAGCUCAUCAUUCGCGAGGAGGUGACGCGGCGGCUCACCGAGGAGUGGGCCAAGGGCGACCCCGCCUUCGCCCGCGGCCUCAACGAGGGGUUCGGGCCCGGCCCGUUCUUCGCCCCCGAUCGCUUCAUGCCGCCGCCGCCGCCGCACGCGCCGAUGCCGUUGCCGGUGCCGAUGCGCCCGCUCCCGCACGCGCCGCCGCCGGUGCCUUUCGAGGAGUUCGGGGCCUGGCAGGGGUUCGGGCGUCCCCUGCACGCGGGGUUUGGGGAAAGGACGCGGUUUCUCUUCGGGGCGAAGUGGGGGUCUACGCCGCCGCCAGACCCGAAGCACAAGCUCAAGCUGCUUGAGGUCGAGCCCUCCGGGAGACCCGAGGCUCUUUCACCAAAGGUUCCAAUGAUGAAGAGCAAAGCAGAUGCAAAUGUUGCAACUACUGUACCAAAGAAAGUACAGAAACUAGCCGAGGACUGGAGCUGUGCACUAUGCCAGGUUAGUGCACCGUCUGAAGCUGGUCUAAAUGAGCAUCUUGGAGGAACAGAGCAUAAGGCGAAGUUGGCACAAUGUAGCGUCAGCAAGGCGACCAAAGAUGACAAAAACUGCUUGCAGACGACCACUGGGAAUGAGAGCAACACAGAUCCUUGUGAUGCACCUAAGAAAAUAUGCAUGCUAGUAGACAGUGCAACAUGUGAAGCUGGUCUAAAUGAGGAUCUUGGAGGAAGAAAACAUAAGGCGAAGUUGGCACAAUGUGGCGUCAGCAAGGCGAUCAAAGAUGACAAAAACUGCUUGCAGACGACCACUGGGAAUGAGAACAACACAGAUCCUUGUGAUGCACCUAAGAAAAUAUGCAUGCUAGUAGAUGGUGAAAUGCAUGAAGUUGUUCGGAAGAACAACUAUCUGUGGUGUGAUCUCUGCAGAGUCAGGUGCGAUAGUAACAGCAUCAUGGCUGGCCAUCUGCGUAGCAAGAAGCACAGUAAAUUAAACAAGGUUUCGACGUCGAUAAAGGCUGUGAGGACAAAUACCGAUACUAAGGAAGGUUUGACUUCUUUUGGAAGUCAGGUAAAUACAAACGGCUCUACUGAAAUUCCAGCGGUAAUUGAAGGCGACAUAAAUAUGACCACCAAAGUAGAUGAAAGUGGCCCUGUAGAAAAUCCAGUCCAGAAAGAAAUCCAUCCGUUGAGCAAGAAGCACAGUAAAUUAAACGAUGGUUGGACAUCGAUAAAGGCUGUGAGGACAAAUACCGAUACUAAGAAAGAAAUCCAUCCGGGGAGCAAGAAGCACAGUAAAUUAAACGAUGGUUGGACAUCGAUAAAGGCUGUGAGGACAAAUACCGAUACUAAGAAAGAAAUCCAUCCGGGGAGCAAGAAGCACAGUAAAUUAAACAAGGUUUCAACAUCGAUAAAGGUUGUGAGGUCUAAUACCGAUACUAAGGAAGGUUUACCUUCUUGUGGAAGUCAGGCUCUUUCAUCAAAUCCAAAGGUUCCAAUGGUGAAGAGGAAAGCAGAUGCACAUGUUGCAACUACUGUGCCAAAGAAAGUACAGAAACCAACCAAGGACUGGAGCUGUGCACUAUGCCAGGUUAGUCGACCAUGUGAAGCUGCUCUAAAUGCGCAUCUUGGAGGAACAAAGCAUAAGGCAAAGUUGGCACAGUGUGGCGUUAGCAAGACGAUCAAAGAUGGCAAAAACUGCUCACAGAUGACCACUGGGAUUGAGAGCAGCACAGAUCCUUGUGAUGCACCUAAGAAAAUAUGCAUGCUAGUAGACGGUGCAAUGCAUGAAGUUGUUCGGAAGGACAACUACCUGUGGUGUGAUCACUGCAGAGUCAGUUGUGGUAACUACGCCACCAUGGCUUGCCAUCUGCGGUGCAAGAAGCAGAGUAAAUUAACCAAGGUUUGUUCAUCGAUAAAGGUUGUGAGGACAAAUACCAAUACUAAGGAAGGUCUUUUAGGUGUGGCUCAGAACAUGGGCUUCCUUGGUAUCUUACGUAUUAUUUUAGAGAUGAUCUUUGAAAAUUCUGCCCCGAGUAUUCAUGGAAUUUCUUAUCUCAGGUGUUGCUGGGAGAAACGCAACAAAUCAUGGGAGAUCAGAAAACUCAGUGAACACCAUGGCAAGCUUGCAGCCAAGAAGCAAUCCAUGUCCUGUGGUCCUGCUGUUUAUUUCUGUUAG
rnacentral:rRNA from 1 species